rnacentral:tRNA from 1 species
GUUCCUAUAGUUGAGAGUCAACGACAGUUUUUCAGAUUGUAGGCCCUGAGUUNAAUCAGGUGGGAAUA